GAAGCCGCGAAUAGCUCAUUACAACAGCCACCGUUUAMUAGAAUAUAGUUAUCCUACUUGGAUAACUGUGGCAAUUCUAGAGCUAAUACAUGCAAAAAAGCUCUGACCGCAAGGAACGAGCGCAUUUAUUAGAAUAAAAACCAAUCAGGUUCCGGCCUGUAAUUUGGUGAAUCUGAAUAACUUUGCCAAUCGCACAGUCCUAGUACUGGCGAUGUAUCUUUCAAGUGUCUGCCUUAUCAACUUUCGAUGGUAGGUUAUACGCCUACCAUGGUAGUAACGGGUAACGGAGAAUAAGGGUUCGACUCCGGAGAGGGAGCCUGAGAAACGGCUACCACAUCCAAGGAAGGCAGCAGGCGCGCAAAUUACCCACUUCCAGAACGGAGAGGUAGUGACGAAAAAUAACGAGACAGUCUUCUUCGAAGUCUGUCAUCGGAAUGGGUACAAUUUAAAUCCUUUAACGAGGAUCUAUUGGAGGGCAAGUCUGGUGCCAGCAGCCGCGGUAAUUCCAGCUCCAAUAGCGUAUAUUAAAGUUGUUGCGGUUAAAACGCUCGUAGUUGGAUCUGCGGCCUUGGAGAACGGUCCCCCGAAAGGGUGGUCACUGUUUCUCCUAGCCUAAAUUCGAGUCGUCUCUAGGUGCUCUUUACCGAGUGCUUAGAGUGACUAGAACGUUUACUUUGAAAAAAUUAGAGUGCUUAAAGCAGGCGAAAUAGCCUGAAUAAGGUGCAUGGAAUAAUGGAAUAGGACUUCGGUUCUAUUUUGUUGGUUUUCGGAACCUGAAGUAAUGAUUAAGAGGAACAGACGGGGGCAUUCGUAUUCCGGCGCU
rnacentral:rRNA from 1 species